rnacentral:rRNA from 1 species
GACGUAGGGCGCGAGCGUUGUUCGGAGUUACUGGGCGUAAAGGGUGUGUAGGCGGUUGUUUAAGUUUGGUGUGAAAUCUCCCGGCUCAACUGGGAGGGUGCGCCGAAUACUGAAUGACUAGAGUGCGGGAGAGGUGAGUGGAAUUCCUGGUGUAGCGGUGAAAUGCGUAGAUAUCAGGAGGAACACCGGUGGUGUAGACGGCUCACUGGACCGUAACUGACGCUGAGACACGAAAGCGUGGGGAGCGAACAGG